GAUGAACGCUAGCUACAGGCUUAACACAUGCAAGUCGAGGGGUAACGAGAGGAAAGCUUGCUUUCCUUGUCGACGACCGGCGCACGGGUGAGUAACGCGUAUCCAACCUGCCCCCAACCAGGGAAUAACCUUGCGAAAGUAAGACUAAUACCCUAUAAUUUCCUCAGAUGACAUCUGACGAGGAAUAAAGAUUUAUCGGUUGUGGAUGGGGAUGCGUCUGAUUAGCUUGUUGGCGGGGUAACGGCCCACCAAGGCAACGAUCAGUAGGGGUUCUGAGAGGAAGGUCCCCCACAUUGGACCUGAGACACGGUCCAAACUCCUACGGGAGGCAACAGUGAGGAAUAUUGGUCAAUGGGCGGAAGCCUGAACCAGCCAAGUAGCGUGCAGGAUGACGGCCCUAUGGGUUGUAAACUGCUUUUAUACAGGAAUAAAGUUAGCCACGUGUGGUUAUUUGUAGGUACUGUAUGAAUAAGGACCGGCUAAUUCCGUGCCAGCCGCCGCCGUAA
rnacentral:rRNA from 1 species